UUUCAAAGUAAUUCAUUAUUUCCAUUCCACCAUAUGUCUCUCCAAACGACCCUGCACUAAUGAAAAUCAGGACCAUCACUUGAAGAAUUAUCAAUUGGAGACUUUGUUUGGCUUUUUGGAGAAGGUCCAAAAGCUUGAAGGACCCAAAAUUUAGCCGAUUCAACAACAUGGACUUCACUAGAACCCUUUUGUCUCCUAAUUUUUGAAUUGCUUGUAAUAACUGGAUUGUUCCCAUUAUCUUUUGUUGGAUAUGCAUUCGAAUAUUUAUCUA